rnacentral:rRNA from 1 species
GAUGAACGCUGGCGGCGUGCCUAACACAUGCAAGUCGAGCGAACCCUUCGGGGUGAGCGGCGGGCGGGUGAGUAACGCGUGGGUAACCUGCCCUAUACACACGGAUAACGUACCGAAAGGCACGCUAAUACGGGAUAAAGUUGUUGGAUGGCAUCUUCUAACAAUCAAAGCUCCGGCGGUAUAGGAUGGACCCGCGUCUGAUUAGCUAGUUGGUGAGGUAAUGGCUCACCAAGGCGACGAUCAGUAGCCGACCUGAGAGGGUGAUCGGCCACACUGGAACUGAGACACGGUCCAGACUCCUACGGGAGGCGGCAGUGGGGAAUAUUGCGCAAUGGGCGAAAGCCUGAUGCAGCAACGCCGCGUGAGCGAUGAAGGUCUUCGGAUCGUAAAGCUCUGUCCUCAAGGAAGAUAAUGACGGUACUUGAGGAGGAAGCCCCGGCUAACUACGUGCCAGCCGCCCCGUAA